rnacentral:rRNA from 1 species
UACGUAGGCAGCAAGCGUUGUUCGGAAUUACUGGGCGUAAAGAGUGUGUAGGCGGUGCUCUAAGUUCGUUGUGAAAUCUCCCGGCUUAACUGGGAGGUGCGGCGGAACUGGAGUGCUUGAGCGCGGGAAGAGGAAAGGCGGAAUCCUGGUGUAGCGGUGAAAUGCGUAGAUAUCAGGAGGAACACCUGUGGUGUAGACGCUUUCUGGACC